rnacentral:lncRNA from 1 species
GCUGAAGCAGAGGGAAUGAGGAGAGAAGGAGGAGAUGGAUUCUCGAGGAGUCACACUGGUCAGCAAUGGCCAGAGAAGAAAGGGCUCUGCGGCUCUGGGAGACAGUGUGAAACUUCAACGGUGUGCUGUAAAGAAAUUCAGCUCUAGACUCUGUGAGAGAAUGGAGAAAUGUGAACCCAAACCCAAAAAUGAAAGCACAGAAGAAAGCCCCAACCUCACAUGGGAAUGGGUCCAGCCUGGGAGGCACUGUCUCCCCUGUGAAGCAACAGUAUCACAAGACUGUCAUAUUAUUUUUUACAUUAAUAAUUCUAGAAUUAAAAUAAAUUUCAUGUUCGGGGGCACCUGGGUGGCUCAGUCAUUAAGUUUCUGCCUUCAGCUCAGGUCAUGAUCCCAGGGUCCUGGGAUGGAGCCCUGCGUUAGGCUCCCUGCUCAGCAGGGAGCCUGCCUUUCCCUCUCCCACUCCCUGCCCGCCCCCCGGCCCCCGCUUGUGUUCCCUCUCUCACUGUGUCUGUCAAA